UACGUAGGGUGCAAGCGUUAAUCGGAAUUACUGGGCGUAAAGCGUGCGCAGGCGGUUGUGCAAGACAGAUGUGAAAUCCCCGGGCUCAACCUGGGAAUUGCAUUUGUGACUGCACGGCUAGAGUGUGUCAGAGGGGGGUAGAAUUCCACGUGUAGCAGUGAAAUGCGUAGAGAUGUGGAGGAAUACCGAUGGCGAAGGCAGCCCCCUGGGAUAACACUGACGCUCAUGCACGAAAGCGUGGGGAGUAAACAGG
rnacentral:rRNA from 1 species